AUUGAACGCUAGCGGGAUGCCUUACACAUGCAAGUCGAACGGAGUGGCGAACGGGUGAGUAAUGUAUCGGAACGUGCCCAGUAGCGGGGGAUAACUACGCGAAAGCGUAGCUAAUACCGCAUACUAUUGGAGCGGCCGAGAGCGGCUGAGCUAGUGGGGGGGGAAACGGCUCACCAAGGCGAUGAUCCGUAGCCGGUUUGAGAGGACGACCGGCCACACUGGGACUGAGACACGGCCCAAACUCCGACGGGAGGCAGCAGUGGGGAAGUUUCGACAAUGGGGGAAACCCUGAUCCAGCAAUCCCGCGUGUGCGAUGAAGGCCUUCGGGUUGUAAAGCACUUUUGGCAGGAAAGCGGUACCUGAAGAGUAAGCACCGGCUAACUACGUGCCAGCAGCCGCGGUAAUUC
rnacentral:rRNA from 1 species